GCCUUCGCCGCCCUUGAGAACGGGCACACCUUACGCAGGUCAAACGAGCCGCAGUUUGAGCUGUGCUUCGGCGGGCGGACGCAGUUCUGCAAAUCACAUUACACCGACUUGGACUCCCAUUCGGACGACUUUGAUCCCGCCUCCACGAAAAGCAAGUACGACUCCAUGGAUUUUGACAGCUUGCUGAGGGAGGCCCAGCGCAGCCUGAGAAGGUAACCGGUUCAGCGGCACCUGCUGUCUUGUCACCAGAGGGACUUCUGAUACCUCACUGUUGUUUCUCGCUCCUCUGAGGACGAGACUACCAGAAGUUUUACGCUCUAUGUCAUAGAGUAUAUAAGAUUAAGUCUAUAGACCUAUAUCAAUAUAAAUGAAUAUAUCAAAAAUAAAGUUUACAUGAACAUAGCUGCUGAAGAGCUGGGAAGAGACAUUGCAUUCUGGGAAAGCCAGUGAACCCUCAGAACCUGAUGCACGUGUUUGGUGCACUCUACUGCUGUACAACCAUCAGUGAAGGAAGAAGAAAAAAACUUUCAUGAUUUUUUUUCUCCAAGCACUACAAGGCCCACAAUCCUUUGAGGGUAAAAACAUGCAGCUUGUUCAGGCAGAUUGUUUUUUCUUUCGCUGUUGAUUUUUGUUCAUUUUUAAAUCUGGUGUUUGGAUAGUGUUACAAACAAGAGUAUGGGGAAUUGUAUCUUCGAGGUAAAAUUCUCAAGGUAACAUUGUUGUCUACAUUUAAAGAAGAAAUGUAGCCAUGUAUUUACAAAUAUUAUAAAAAGGAAUAUUUUUAUUUUAUGUACAUAUCGGAUAAAGUUCUUUAUUUGUUACAGCUAUGCACUGUAAAACGCAGCCUUUUUUUAAAAUGAGGAGACCAAUUUCUUAAUUCAGAAUGUCGAUCUGUGGUAAUUACAAUACUGUAAAACAUAUUGUACACCUACAUGAUGUUUAGAAGACAUGAUAUGAUUGUAAAAAAGAAAAAAAAAGAUAUGUCCGACUGCUCAUUUUGAGGGAGCAUGUGAACAAAUGUCCUUUUUUAAUUUAUUUUGUUGGGGAAAAAAAAGUCAACCAUGUAUAGUUUUCUCUGUUUAUAAAGUUUCUCAAUCAGUGUUUUUGCUUAUAAAACAAGUGUAAAAUGCAUUUUUUACAUGUUUUCCAUGAUUGUAAAAAAGGUACCCCCAUUUUUUAUUAAUUAUUUCUGAAGCAAAUCAAUAUAUACAUAUAUAUUAUAUACAUAUAUAUAUAUAUAUGUAUGUGUGUGUGUAUAUAUAUACACGCACACAGCGUAUAUAUAUACUUGCAUUGCUUUGUAUGGUUCUCCUUUUGAUUACCUUCAGUGAAAGCGAAUUCUGCAUUCAAAUCUUUUAAAUCAGUGCAUACACAUAUUUAUCUAUUUAUUUUAAUAUUUGAAUCAAUAAUAUUUAUGGGCUCCAUUUAACAUGGCGUACCUCACAAAAAUGUAUUUAGUGUAUUUGUUGUCCUAUGAUUUGUGUUAUUUAACUUACAAUCACUAGACAGGGUGUACAAUAAUGGUUUGGUGGGGAUAAUAUUACCUUCUAUGCCUUUCCAAAACAAUCAGAACAUUCAGCUAAUCACUCCAGCAGUCAGACCCUCAUCAUUUUAGUGAUUUCUGGUCUCCACCAAUGGUCACAUCUACAGCCCGCUGUUUUUUUUUUUUUCUCACACAGAAGCAGAACAUGAAGCAAUAAAAUGAUUUUGCAGGAAUUUUGUUAUACCACUGUAAACACUUGUUGUCAUCGCUCCACUCAUGCUUUAUUAUGUGAAUGCCAAACAAAAGUUUACAGUUUCCUUUUCCUGAAUUUUUUAAAGAUCUGGUAUUUGAUGUACAAUAUAUAUAUAUAUAAUAUAUAAAUAUAUAUAUAUAUAUAUAACACUACUAAUAUUAUUCACAAUAAUUACAAGAUGAUUAAUAAUACAAUGAUAAUAAUAUAAAUGAAAGAAAAAAACUAUAUAAAAAGCAAUAAAUUAUUUUUCAGAGUUGUAUUUUA